ensembl:lncRNA
UACACACAUCUACACACACACACACCUACACACACAUAUACACACACACCUACAUACACACACACACACACACCUACACACACACACACACCUACACACACACACACACACCUACACACACACACACACACACAUAUACACACACACAUAUACACACACACACACACACCUACCACACACACACACACACACACACACACACACACACACACACACACACACACACACCUACACACACACACACACACACACACAUAUACACACACACAUAUACACACACACACACACACACACACACACACCUACACACACACACACACACACACACACACACAGUUCUUGCUCAAGGACACUUUGACAUGCUGGAUCCGGGGAGUGAAGCAUGUAAAACCUUUGCAGUGAAACUUUAGAUGCAUGAAUUGCUUUUCACGGGUAAUAAUAAAUAAAUCAUCUUCUUUAUGAAUCCUUAUCUUCAUAAAUGCAUUUCAGUGUGUUAGAGUCACUGCACUUCCUCACGCAGCCUCCACCAGGUUCCUCCUCACUGUAAUCACACAGCUUCACGGUGGUAAACAUGGAUUCAGUGUGAGUUCUUGUGUUUGGUCAGAGAGGCUGAUGUCUUAUUAUUCACAGGUGUGCAGCUUCUUAACAAGGUUUGUACAGUUCCUCCUGAGUAAAUGUUAAGAUCCUGCUAACCCUGAACAGCAGGAUGCUGCUCUCGGUGUACACGGAGGACCCUGCAGGAGAAGAGGAAAUGAUAUUUUCCAUAUCAUUAGAAUGGAUCUUGACCUCGGUGCAGCAGCAAGCAGCACAGUCCGUCUGAAAGCUGCAUUUAUGUGUUAUCUUGGAAAAAGUGUCUCAGAGGUUUCAGCCUCCUCCCUGCAGAGCUUAUCAUCCAACCCACCGGCUGCAGCCUCCUGCCUGAGUCCAGGGUCUGACAGCAGAGAGGAGACACUUGAGCUGUGCUUCACUUCACUGCAGCAGCUCGAGUGACGCCGUCCUCCUUCAGCCUGAAAGCACUUUUAUAUAUCCAAGGUGACAAACAGCAGGAGAGGAUUCUAUUGACAUAUUUUAUAUUUGUAAAUUAACUGGGGCUUUUUUGCAUAAUGAAUACUUAUGAAACUUUAAGUACAUUUUACUGAUAUGUUUGUACUCUUAUGGAGACACUACAGGUGAAUAGUGUAGACAUUUUAAAUAGUAGAUAUCACUCACCAUGAAACGUUUAAAUAUGUUCUCUUAUUAAAGAUGUGCUGAUGUGCUCCAUGUCCAGAUGUAAAGAGAAGUCUGGAUGAAGCAGGUUCAAAGUGUUUCAUGUUGUUCACAUGUCAAAGGUUUGUACAGAUUCUGGAUCUGUCUUUGUAUCACUCCAUAAAUCACUGAAUCCUGUCAACACACAGAACUUAGUGCAUCUCCUGCAUGUAGUGAGUGUAGCGUGUAUAACAUGAGCUGUGAGUGACAUGUGAACAAAGCCCUCUGCACAAAGCUUCAGAAUAUAGAGAGGAAUGAAAGUGGAAAGUUUGGUGUAUGUAAGUGCUGCUGAAGUGGAGACUUCUGCUGAAGAGUGUGAGAAAAAGCUCCUUUAGAGAAAAGCUCCUUUAAAGAUAUGUAUUGUAACAUUCAUACAUGUUGUACACACUACAGGUGAACAGGGUCAUACAUGUUGUACACACUACAGGUGAACAGAGUCAUACAUGUUGUACACACUACAGGUGAACAGAGGUCAUACAUGUUGUACACACUACAGGUGAACAGAGUCAUACAUGUUGUACACACUACAGGUGAACAGAGUCAUACAUGUUGUACACACUACAGGUGAACAGAGUCAUACAUGUUGUACACACUACAGGUGAACAGAGUCAUACAUGUUGUACACACUACAGGUGAACAGGGUCAUACAUGUUGUACACACUACAGGUGAACAGAGUCAUACAUGUUGUACACACUACAGGUGAACAGAGUCAUACAUGUUGUACACACUACAGGUGAACAGAGUCAUACAUGUUGUACACACUACAGGUGAACAGAGUCAUACAUGUUGACAGAGUCAUACAUGUUGUACACACUACAGGUGAACAGAGUCAUACAUGUUGUACACACUACAGGUGAACAGAGUCAUACAUGUUGUACACACUACAGGUGAACAGAGUCAUACAUGUUGUACACACGACAGGUGAACAGGGUCAUACAUGUUGUACACACUACAGGUGAACAGAGUCAUACAUGUUGUACACACUACAGGUGAACAGGGUCAUACAUGUUGUACACACUACAGGUGAACAGAGUCAUACAUGUUGUACACACUACAGGUGAACAGAGUCAUACAUGUUGUACACACUACAGGUGAACAGAGUCAUACAUGUUGUACACACUACAGGUGAACAGAGUCAUACAUGUUGUACACACUACAGGUGAACAGAGUCAUACAUGUUGUACACACUACAGGUGAACAGGGUCAUACAUGUUGUACACACUACAGGUGAACAGGGUCAAACAUGUUGUACACACUACAGGUGAACAGAGUCAUACAUGUUGUACACACUACAGGUGAACAGAGUCAUACAUGUUGUACACACUACAGGUGAACAGGGUCAUACAUGUUGUACACACUACAGGUGAACAGGGUCAUACAUGUUGUACACACUACAGGUGAACAGAGUCAUACAUGUUGUACACACUACAGGUGAACAGAGUCAUACAUGUUGUACACACUACAGGUGAACAGAGUCAUACAUGUUGUACACACUACAGGUGAACAGGGUCAUACAUGUUGUACACACUACAGGUGAACAGAGUCAUACAUGUUGUACACACUACAGGUGAACAGGGUCAUACAUGUUGUACACACUACAGGUGAACAGGGUCAAACAUGUAACUAACAGAUAUCAUGAAGCUUCCCCACUUCAUGACUCACAUCAACACAACUUUAUAUUACAAGUGUUUAAUAUGUACAUGAGGCGUUAUGUAAUGUAGCUGUGGAGAGUUUAAAUCUACACACACA